rnacentral:rRNA from 1 species
UACGGAGGGUGCGAGCGUUGUCCGGAAUCAUUGGGCGUAAAGGGCGCGUAGGUGGCCCGGUCAGUCAGUGGUGAAAGCGCGGGGCUCAACUCCGCGUCGGCCAUUGAUACUGCUGGGCUUGAGCACUGUAGAGGCAGGCGGAAUUCCGGGUGUAGCGGUGGAAUGCGUAGAUAUCGAGAGGAACACCAGUGGCGAAGGCGAGUCUCUGGACGACACCUGACACUGAGGCACGAAAGCUAGGGGAGCAAACAGG